UGUUUAAUGUGUGUUCCCUCCUUGUCCUUGCCUUACGAAAAUCAUGUUAAAAUUACAAGUACAAACUCUAUUUUAUUUUAUUUUAAUUAUGGAAAAUAACUGUAUUUUUACGAGGAAAUACAUUUUCGUUAUUUUACGGUAUUUUUAUGGCGCCCCUGCUGCCAGAAAUUUCUGUUCAGAUACAGUAGUAUUAGCUUUAUACUACUACUAAAGCUUAUAUCUAAAUGUUAAACAGUAUAUCUAAAUGUUGAAUGUCAUAUGUAACCCAGGUGGAAAAAAGCCGUCACAUGACGGAGCGCAUUCGUCACGUGACAGGGCACACCCAGUAACACAGGUAAACCAGCUCCGUGUGGCUUGCUGCCGGCAGUAGCAAGAGCAGCCCACUGGGGAAAUGUUUUCUGCAGGUGCGUCGUAGCAACGCUCGAUCAAUGUAACAUCAAUCACACCGAAACUUAUGCAAUCACUGUCGAAAUAUAGGAGCCGACUACCGGAGCCCCUGAGCGUCUGAAUGCCGAGUCGCGUGCCGAUUUAAAUUGGCCAAGUUGAUGGCAAGCUAGAGCCUAGCCUGGGCACAAAGCCUGAGGACUCUACCGGGAAGGAAUCUGCUGAAUUUCCACUGCUCAAGUCAGGCUGGUAGGAGGCUCCAUUGUGCAGCCGCUCCUCUUUCUAACUCUUGCCCUUUUGCCACACAUGCACGGCCCACACAUCCAUUGCACACACUCACCCCCCACCACGGACUUUUCCCCCUUCCCACUGGUGGACAUUCACAUAGUCGGCCGUUACAUUGUGCGUGUCCCUCGCCAGUACCAGCGAAGUUGAACUUUUUUUUUUUUUUUUUUUUUUUUGUUUAAGCAACUGUGGAACUGUGUGCUGCAACGUCAUUCAGUGACAAAUGCUGAUGAGAUGAACUGUAUAUAGUGUUUCUAUGAAUGGCCAUUUGUGUUUCUAUUUAUCACUGCUAAUAUUUAAUGUUUAUGGUUUACAAUUAUAAAAUUGGUGUGCUAAAUCUAAAGUUCGUUCAGUGUCUUAUUCUCCACUCCAGAGUCAACCUGGGGUCUUCUGAACUUAGCCCAAAUGAUAAUUGUGUGAUAAAUGAUGUUGUAUUGCUAGUUGUUAGUAUCUAAACCUAAACAGGGUCGCGUGCUUGUUACAUAAAGUGGUAAGCUAGCCAGGAGUGGAGAAAGACCUUAAUAAUUGCUUUGGUGUUCAUCUAUUCAUAUAUUUGUGUAAAAAUUUGCAUUUUUGAGAAGAUUCCAAAUGCAGUUUUGAUAAAGGAAGUGACGGUUCUGUUUCGAAAUUUGAACGUAUUGAUGAGCCCAAUUCUGCUUCCCACCAUUCAAUCGUGGUUGAAAUCAGGCACUACGUUAGAUUACCUACAAGAUUUUAGACCUAUCUACAGUCUGCGCAGACGAGGUAGGGAAGUUGCAAACUAAGAACCACCUUUCUGAGUUACAGAAAGUCGCAAAGUUGACCAGCCAAGAUUUUGCGGUUAUCCUCAACGGAGUGAUGCCUCUGCUUGGUCAGUCUGUCUCUCAGCUCAGUCCUACUGCCACUGAUGUUGAGUCUCCUUCGGAGGACAGUGGGAAGCCAUCAACUGCUGCCACGGUCCAGAGCACUGAACCAUAGCCAAAAGUCCAGCCAGAGCCUUCAGCCCAACACACCUCAAGACCCCCUUGGCCAGCUCCAUCACACGCCAACCUCAAUCCACCUGCAGUUCAACGUUAUGUGGUUGAGAAUAUUGUUAAGAAUGACAACAGCGCUAUGCAUCCCACACAGCGUCUCAGAGCCUUCUCUGGAAGAUCGCCCAGACCUUAAAACGAGUCAGACUAUGACACAUGGCGUUUCAGAGUUAAGCUGCUUCUACAAUAUCCUGCAGUGUCCAACCUACAGCACUCACGUAAGAUCUUCGACAGCUUGUUACCACCUGCUGCUGAUGUGGUUAAGCACCUGAGGCCUGACACUCCACCAACAGUGUAUCUACAGAUACUUGACUCAGCGUACGGCACAGUGCAGGAGGGUGAUGAGCUAUACGCCAAAUUCAUGGACACAUUCCAGGAUGCCGGAGAGAAGUACUGAGAAGCUCAACAAGAUUCCUCAUGUUUUUGCGCUCAGUGACAUGGACUUUGGAUGUACAGACAAGGUAAAACAUACUAUAAAACUGCAUAAUGAAACUUCAUCAUUCAACAUUCUAGCACAGAGUCAGGCCAACCCACCCGCAGGACAUUGAAGCAGUCCGAUAGCACCUAAGGGACCUUCUGGAGGCUGGUGUCAUUCAUGAACCGGAGUCGUCAUUCUCAUCACCAAUUGUUGUGGUCCGUAAAAAGAACGGUGACAUACGGUUGUGUAUUGAUUACAGAAGACUGAACCUACAGACGGUUAAGGACUUCUAUCCUCUGCUAAACCUGGAGGAGUCUCUCUCUGCUUUGUCUGGGUCCAGCGUUCUCAACUUAAAAUCUGGGUAUUAUCAGAUCGAAAUGAACGAAGAGGCCAAAAUAAGACAGCUUGUGUGACUCCUAUUCGGUUUUGGGAAUUUAACCGAAUUCCCCAAGGCGUAACAAACGCUCCAUCUACAUUCCAGCGGUUAAUGGAGAAGAGCAUGGGAGAUUUCCAUUUGAAUUUGAUCUUUUUUUCAUCUGGUUUUCCUCGAUGACCUUAUUGUCUUCUCCGAUACACUGGAGGAACAUGAGCGGAGGUUGCUGCGGGUAUUACAUCGCUUGGAAGAGUACUGUCUGAAGCUCUCUCUCUCUCUCGUAAUGUAAAUUUUUUUCAAACGUUAAACAGUUAAAUACUUCGGACACAUAGUUUCGGAGAAGGGGGUCGAGACUGAUCCGGAUAAGAUCCUUGCUCUAAAAUCCUGGCCAAUUCCAAGAACCCUGAAGAAGCUCAAGUCGUUCCUAGGAUUCGCUGGAUAUUACCGGAGGUUCAUAAAAGGGUACUCCGCUAUUGCAAAACCUCUCAAUGAUUUGAUGCAAGGCUAUGCACCACUGGACUCAGAGCAGCUUUAUACCAGGAGCAGGAGGGUCAGCUGAGAGUGAUCGCCUAUGCCAGCUGUGGUCUGUCAGUGAGUGAGUCAAGGUAUUCUGCACAUAAGUUAGAAUUUCUUGCGCUGAAGUGGAAUGUGUGUGAAAAGUUCCAUGACUACCUGUAUGGAGCCAGAUUUGUGGUAGUGACUGAUAACCCACUCACUUGCUUGUUAACAACAGUAAAGUUGGAUGCUACCAGUCAUAGGUGGCUUGCCGCCCUGUCCUUCAACACCUUCAAGCUGCAAUAUUGGGCAGGGAAGCAGAACCUCAACGCUGACGCUCUAUCUCGCCGCCCUCACAGCCACCCUGCUGACCUGACAAAACAGAAAGAUUGGGACCUGAUCAACAAGUUUACUGCAGAGCAUGUCAUCAGAUCUGGUGAAUUGGAGGAACUCAAAACAGACAUUGUUUCUGCCAUUUGCCAGGGAGUCCCAUCACCUUGGUCGAGUCCCUGAGCCUGACUGCUAAAACCGUGCCUGACUGUUAUGCCAGCAAGGACCUCCAUGGCUUACCAGUUGUUCCCUCCCUGUCGCAUCUGGGCCUCAUGGAAAAGCAACGUGCUGAUCCAGUCACAAGAGAGGUUAUCCGCCAGAUUGGUCCUGCUUUUAUACAGGCUAGGUUGAUGGUGAGCUAGAGCCUAGCCUGGGCACAAAGCCUGAGGACUGUGUCAGGAAGGAAUCUACUGAACCUCCACUGCUCAAGUCGGUGGUAGGAGGCUCCGUUGUGCAGCCAGUCUUCUUUCUAACUCUUGCCCUUUUGCCACACACGCACAGCCCACACAUCCAUUGCACACACUCACCCCCCAACACGGACUUUUCCCCCUUCCCACUGGACAUUUAAAUAGUGGGCUGUUACAUUGUGCGUGCCCCUCGCCAGUACCGGCGGAGUUGAACUUUUUUUGCUUAUGCUUCACAAUUAUAAAAUAUGGUGUGCUAAAUCUAAAGUUCGUUCAGUGUCUUAUUCUCCACUCCAGGGGCAAAGGCAGAGCGGUUUUGGCACCAAUUCAGACUUUUAGUAACACAAGCACAUCUCCAGGGGCUGCCACAACAACACAACCAAGCAUAGAAUCACUACAUACCUGCUAAGUUUAUUUUCUAGAAAGAGAAAUAUGAAUUUAACUUUUUUCCAAGCCAUAAUAAAGAAUCAGACCAAGUCCAGUAAUUAAACAAACAAUGAGAAUAUUUCCCUGGACCAUAACAACCCAGGGAUGUUUCGCUGGAUUUACCAACUGGGGCCAAUACUGCUCUUUCUUAAUAAGAUAUAGUGAGAUCGACGGUACACUGUGUCCUUUCCUAAAGUUAUCUGUAUGUUGUUUGCAUGACAUCGCAGUUACCGACACUAACUGUCAAACAAGACUAGCGAGGGGAACGUCUUGCUUUUACAGCGAGUGAAGCUACCCUGCAAACAUUUCAUCAACCUGGGGGUUGACAGUAGGUCGAAGGGGCGACCUCUAGCGUGAAACGAGUUUAAGAUAGGUCUAGGUUGCACUUCGACCAUAGACAAAUUAGAUGAAAAAAAAUAAAUAUAUACAACCAAUUGGGUGUGGCCCUUCUAGCCAAUCAGAGGUGAAAAGGGCGGGACCUUCUCCUACCAUCCUGGCUGCGGAACACCACCUGCGGAGCGCGAACAGAGAGGCAAGCAGAGCAACCGUUUUUUCGGCGGAGGAGGGAGAGGAAUCCAGAAGAAGUGAUUGUGAUCGCCUCUGUGAAAACAGUUUUCAACUGUGUUCUGAUUUGAUUUGUUAGGUUAGUUCUAGUUGUUGAUGAACAUUGGUGUUGACAAGGCACAGCAGUGGUCUGUUAUUAUUUAAUAACAGCUAAUAACUGUUUAAGAGGCAGGACCAGAAUAAAGGUGCAAGAAGACAGCCUUUUCCAACACCACAGCAGUCACACGAGUUUCACUAUAGAUGAC